rnacentral:rRNA from 1 species
UUCUUUAUCACCGAGUGCUUGCACUCACCGAUACAGAGUUGAGUGGCGAACGGGUGAGUAACACGUGGGCAACCUGCCCAAAAGAGGGGGAUAACACUUGGAAACAGGUGCUAAUACCGCAUAACCAUAGUUACCGCAUGGUAACUAUGUAAAAGGUGGCUAUGCUACCGCUUUUGGAUGGGCCCGCGGCGCAUUAGCUAGUUGGUGGGGUAAAGGCUUACCAAGGCAAUGAUGCGUAGCCGAACUGAGAGGUUGAUCGGCCACAUUGGGACUGAGACACGGCCCAAACUCCUACGGGAGGCAGCAGUAGGGAAUCUUCCACAAUGGGCGAAAGCCUGAUGGAGCAACGCCGCGUGGGUGAAGAAGGUCUUCGGAUCGUAAAACCCUGUUGUUAGAGAAGAAAGUGCGUGAGAGUAACUGUUCACGUUUCGACGGUAUCUAACCAGAAAGCCACGGCUAACUACGUGCCAGCAGCCGCGGUAAUACGUAGGUGGCAAGCGUUAUCCGGAUUUAUUGGGCGUAAAGGGAACGCAGGCGGUCUUUUAAGUCUGAUGUGAAAGCCUUCGGCUUAACCGGAGUAGUGCAUUGGAAACUGGGAGACUUGAGUGCAGAAGAGGAGAGUGGAACUCCAUGUGUAGCGGUGAAAUGCGUAGAUAUAUGGAAGAACACCAGUGGCGAAAGCGGCUCUCUGGUCUGUAACUGACGCUGAGGUUCGAAAGCGUGGGU